UUAAGGAAUUAGUUGGCAUACCUAAUAGAUCUCUAGAGAAAAUUUGACUCUUGAUGUAAGUAUAUCUUGAGGAUAGGACUGAUGUAUGGUUAGAAAUCUUCAUAAAAUUAUUUUAAAUCUUUCACUAGUUCCUUACUAAACCUCUACUUAUUUGCUUAUUGUAUCUUUUUCAAGGCAAAGGAAUUGGUUCUUGUUUUUCUUCCCCUGCCUGGAGCCUGAGGCAGCUCGUUUCAAUUUAUGCUCUGGCUCCCCAGGAUAGCUGAGAAACUUCACUGUCCAAUCCUACAGGGAGAAAAAGUGACACUGAGCAUAAUCAACACUGUCUCUAACCAGGAUGCUUAUGAUAUGGUAGUCUUUACGUUAGCUUUGCUUUGUUCCCACUCUUCUCUCCUUUCUUCCAUACAUCUCCUCAUAACUCUAUUUAUAAAUGGCCUUCGCAAAACCAAAUUAACACAGUAAAAAGCUUAACCAUGUGGUGCCCAGCACAAUAAGAUCUGGAAGGUCUGUCGUUAUUGGAUGCCGAGGAUGUAUUUCCAUGUCCUGUGCCUCAUCAGCAGCUUCAACUCUGGAGAGAUAACAGUGGGGUUGAUGUAGAAAUCUUGCCUAAAUGCUCCCUACCAUGAAUGACCACAUGUUCCAGCAUGGUAUGCCAAGGAUCCCUUUGCAAUGUAACUCUACUCCUCCCUCCAUCAAGAAGUAGGGUCUAUUUCUCCACCCCUUGAAUCAGUCUGGUCUUGUGACUUGCUUUCAUCAAUAAAAUGUUGCAGAAGUGAAGUCUGAAAGCCCUGCUUGGAGAAAACAUGUAGCUUCUACUUUCAAUCUUGGAAUCCAGUCUCCACAAAAAGAAGUCCAGGCUAGCCUGCGGAGACAGAGAACAUGUGGAGAGAAAGAUCAUAGUGAAUGAACUACCAUAUGGAGAGUGAAGCCACAUGGAAGAGAACCACAUUGCCCCAGUUUGACAGUAACAGCAAAGCUCCAUUUAUUGAGAAUGAAGCAAUCUUUGAUCUCUUAGCCCUAAUCAAGUCACCCCAGCUGACAUCACAUGGAGUAGAGACAAGCCAUCCCCACUGAGCCCCAAAUAUCCAACCAACAAAACUCACUGAAUGGAUCCCCAGUGUCUAACUGUGUAAAACAGCUGAGACGUCACUGCUUUCCAAUCUCUUGAAGGACAAGUGCUCAUCUUGGCUCACCUUGGAACCCACUUCAGAACCCAGGGGAAGUGUUAUGCAGGAAUUAUAAUAUGGGUCUUCUGUCAGAGCUCUACAGCUCCUAAACCAAGGUAUCACAUAUCUUCAAGACUGCUGAAUACUGGAAGCAAAAAAAAACCCCACGAAUUUUGCAGGUAUUUAUGAGAAU
rnacentral:lncRNA from 1 species